GAGGCCAGGAAGGAGCUGGUACGAUGUACAUUACUGUCGGUUUUAGAUUUUAGUGAUGUUAUAUAUACAAGCCUCAACCACCACCCUGAGAUCCCUUGAUUCAGUGUAUCGUGCAGCCCUCAGGUUCAUUACAAAUCAAAAACGUCUAACACAUCAUUGUGAUCUCUACAGCGCUGUUGGCUGGUCGUCAUUGACCUUGUGUAGGCUUAAACACUGGUAUACACUGAUUUAUAAGGCCAUAUUGGGUAAAAUGCUAUUUAUCUCUGUUCUUUUUUUUAGUCAGGUCAGUAAAUAAAUAUUGAUUACAGUCCCAUUCCGAUUUGCUUCUAACAGUACCAAAAAUUAGAACAGGUCAUGGUAGAAAUAGUUUGUUACUUAGCUCCGUGGUUCUGGAAUUCUCUCCUGAACAUUUAAAAAUGUGAUGAUCUAGUAUCAUUGGUGGAGUUUAAACACUUGAUCAAUGUAUAUAUCAUAGAAGAGUGUAAUUGUUUUUAGGCCAGCUGUUUUUAGUAAAGACUUUCAUGUUUUUAACGUUAAAUGUUUUUGUUGUACUGUAUGUGUGUUUCAUAGUUUUGCUUACUGUUGUUUUAGUGUAUGUAAGUUGUUUUGCUUGAAACGUUGUUCCCCCUGCUUGUAACGUUCGUCGUCUUCCUCUGAUGAGGAGUAAGAGAGGACGGACCAAUUUGCAGCGUGGCUUUCUUGAUUGCCUUCACAUCAGGUUUCUGCUUUACCAGUAAAAGUUUGACAACAAUCUGAACGGAUAUGUUAAUUUCACUCUGGCCUAUGCUCCACACAGCUACACGAGCCAACCCAUGUGCAGCUUGCUAAUCUUUGCCUCCCAGGCUUUCCAAUGCUUGUAGUGUUUUUCUUCCUGUAAGCGAUAGACUGGAUGGUGCCAGAUGUCUCUGAGUCUCUGGAGCUGAAGAUGAAGAGAGAGCGCUACUUGGCUAAGCAGGCCCUGGCUGACAAUCAGGAUGCCCUGUUGGUGAGUCAGCGUGCCCCGGCCUCCAGCCCAGGUCAGUGGAACAUGGCGAUGCUCACACACCCUCACCACACACCCACUGCUUUCCUG
ensembl:lncRNA